rnacentral:rRNA from 1 species
GACGAACGCUGGCGGCGUGCUUAACACAUGCAAGUCGAACGGAAAGGCCCUGCUUUUGUGGGGUGCUCGAGUGGCGAACGGGUGAGUAACACGUGAGUAACCUGCCCUUGACUUUGGGAUAACUUCAGGAAACUGGGGCUAAUACCGGAUAGGAGCUCCUGCUGCAUGGUGGGGGUUGGUAAGUUUCGGCGGUUGGGGAUGGACUCGCGGCUUAUCAGCUUGUUGGUGGGGUAGUGGCUUACCAAGGCUUUGACGGGUAGCCGGCCUGGGAGGGUGACCGGCGACAAUGGGACUGCGAUACGGCCCAGACUCCUACGGGCGGCAGCAGGGGGGAAUAUUGCAGAGUGGGGGGAAGCGUGAUGCAGCGACGCCGCGUGCGGGAUGACGGCCUUCGGGGUGUAAACCGAUUUGGAAUGAGACGAAGAGGGAGUGACGGUAACGGGUAAAGAAGCACCGGCUAACUACGUG